GAUGAACGCUGGCGGCGUGCCUAACACAUGCAAGUCGAACGAGUGGCGGACGGGUGAGUAACACGUAAGUAAUCAACCUAUAACACACGAAUAACUAAUAGAAAUGUUAGCUAAUACGAGAUAAACAAAGGCGGUUAUAGACGAGCUUGCGUCUGAUUAGCUAGUUGGUGGGGUAAGAGCCUACCAAGGCGACGAUCAGUAGCCGACCUGAGAGGGUGAACGGCCACAUUGGAACUGAGAGACGGUCCAAACUCCUACGGGAGGCAGCAGUGGGGGAUAUUGCACAAUGGGGGGAACCCUGAUGCAGCAACGCCGCGUGAACGAAGAAGGCCCUAGGGUCGUAAAGUUCUGUCGUAUGGGAAGAUGACAGUACCAUACAAGAAAGCCCCGGCUAACUACGUGCCAGCAGCCGCGGUAAUACGUAGGGGGCAAGCGUUAUCCGGAAUUACUGGGCGUAAAGGGUGCGUAGGCGGCUUGUUAAGUCAAGGUUAAAAGGCAGUAGCUCAACUACUGUUCGGCCUUGAAACUAUUAAGCUUGAGUAUAGGAGAGGAAAGUGGAAUUCCCAGUGUAGCGGUGAAAUGCGUAGAUAUUGGGAGGAAUACCGGUGGCGAAGGCGACUUUCUGGACUAACUGACGCUGAGGCACGAAAGUGUGGGUAGCAAACAGGAUUAGAUACCCUGGUAGUCCACACCGUAAACGAUGAACACUAGGUGUCGGGAUCUCGGUGCCGGCGCAAACGCAAUAAGUGUUCCGCCUGGGGAGUACGUUCGCAAGAAUAAAACUCAAAGGAAUUGACGGGGACCCGCACAAGUAGCGGAGCAUGUGGUUUAAUUCGAAGCAACGCGAAGAACCUUACCUAAGCUUGACAUGCACAGGUGGUGCAUGGUUGUCGUCAGCUCGUGUCGUGAGAUGUUGGGUUAAGUCCCGCAACGAGCGCAACCCCUAUUAAUAGUUGCCAGUGCGCAGGCACUCUAGUAAGACAGUUAGGGAUAACCUAAAGGAAGGUGGGGAUGACGUCAAAUCAUCAUGCCCCUUAUGCUUAGGGCUACACACGUGCUACAAUGGCCGUCAAAGAGAAGCGAAUCUGUGAAGAAGAGCAAACCUGAAACGGUCCAAGUUCGGAUGUAGGCUGAAACUCGCCUACAGAAGUCGGAGUUACUAGUAAUCGCAAAUCAGAAUGUUGCGGUGAAUGCGUUCCCGGGUCUUGUACACACCGCCCGUCACACCAUGGGAGCUGAGGGCACCCAAAGUCAGUAUCUAAGAAGCUGCCUAAGGUGAACUUAGUAACUGGGGUGAAGUCGUAACAAGGUAGCCGUA
rnacentral:rRNA from 2 species